rnacentral:lncRNA from 1 species
AUGUACUUUUCACUCAUUCAUACUUUAACCCUUUGGUUUCUCCUUUCAGUAUGCAAGAAAUUCCUGCAGGCUCAUCCUGAGGAGCAGAAGCGACUGUGGGAAGUGGAAGCACCAGGAGAUUGGGGCCAGCGAGUGAAUGUCUGGUUGAAAAUUCAGAUGGAGUCAUCUCCUACAGGAAAGGCAGAAGUGGUCUCUUGUAUGGAGAAGACUCCAACUACCAAACCCAGACAAUUGGACCAGAUGAAUAAGGGUGUUGACUGCUUUCCUGGAGUUGGGCAAGUGGCAGGAGAUGCCAUGGAGAAAAAGGAUGACACAACAGCAGCAGGGACUCUAAACUCACAAGGUCCUGAAGAGGAGGACUUGGAACAAAGUGCAGGCAAUGCUCAGCAGCAUAAAGGACUCAGGAAAAGAGAAGGUCCUGGGGACUUAGUUGGAGACAAGGCCACCAAACAAUUUAAAACUACACCAUGAUUACUAUUUCAGAAAUCAGAAAAAUUCAGUAUGAUCUUAAAAAUUGUAAUUGACUGUUCUUAAUUUGGAACAGUGAAUAAAUUUCUCCAGGUAUGA